rnacentral:lncRNA from 1 species
CACCCCCCCCCCUUCUCGGCAGCGGCUUUCCCCUUGCCCACUAAUGCGCUGCUCACACAUGGAGUCGCGGCGUCACCCGGCGGAGCAUGCGCGGGGCAGGGCCCGUCCUGGGCCGCGGGGACGGGCCGGGGCCGGAGCAGCAGCAGGAGCAGUAGGAGCAGUGGUAGCAGUAAAAGCAGUGGUAGCAGUAGAAGCAGUGGCAGCAGGAGCAGCAGCAGCAGCCGCGCGGGGGCCCGGCGCCGCUUCCGGGCAAUGGUGGAGCAAGGUCAAAGAAGAAAAGGAAGUAAAACCCGAGCCAGAUCUGGAAGACUUGGUCAUCUUCCUGCAACCAGCAGCAGAUGCAAGAGGCACGGGAACAUGCUAAUGUUGGCACACACAACAGGCUGAGCAGGUCCUGAAGCUCGGCAGCCGAUAUGUGCUUUACUUAGGGCAGGGAACAUCACCGGAUGGUCCAGAGGAUCACGAAGGCAGGAGCACAGAUAGCUCCGAAUAACGCUUCGUAUCAGCAGCUCCAGCUGUUAGGCUCACCUGGUUUCCAUCGUACACCAGGGGCUGUAUAGGGGGAGGUGUUGCCCUGGUGUCCGAUCCUAGGAUGACAGACUGCAAUCUUUUUUUUUUUUUAAAAAAAGCCAACCCCAGGACCUUGCAGAGAAUGUAUUUUUUUACCUUUCAUGUUGCAGGCUAGGAGUUUGAAAUUAAGAGAUUAUAUAUUUAAUUAUUUAAAGGGAAGAAAGAAUAGACCUGUAAUCGUGCUACGACGGUGCUAGAAAUUACAGGAAUACAAUUUUAAGAUGGCUUAUGCUAAGAAUGAAAGGAAUUCCAUAGAUUUGGGACCAAGAGACCUUCCUUUACUUAUUUUCUGCUGAAACUGUGUUCCUGCAAGCACAAGUUGCAGCCACCACCAGCUGCUCAAGCCAGAAUUUCUGCAAAGUAGUUCAGGAAUAUGAUAGGAAGUAAAGGGGUGUUUUUUGACAAGAAGAAUCUGCCCUUCGGUCCCUAUAUGAGCCACACCGUGGGGUCUGUCUGCCCAUCUCCCACCCGCGGGUUUUCUUAAAAGUUUUCUUAAAGGUUUUCUGCAGCAAAGCAGGACGCGAGAUUGGAAAGGGCCAAAAUUGCACCAUCUAAGCACUGAGGUGAAUAAACCCAAACAGAAAUGAAAAUUAAGCUUUCUGAACUGGGAAAAAAAAAAAAAAAAAAAAAAAAAAAAAAAAAAAAAAAAAAAAAGAUCAGUAAGUUAUUCAGGAAAUGGGGAAAGCAGCAGACAUAUGCAAAUACUGCCGGGCCAGAGAUGGUGCUUUCAGCGUGAUAUGAUCUGACCCUGUCCCUAAUAAGCACUUUUAUGGCUGGAAGGGGAUAUAUUAGGAGCUCUGCUCCAAUUCAGCAAGCGCUUCAUGGACUAUCGAUUUUGCUCAGAAGUGGGAGAGCACAAAGUUCAGCCGGCAUUGCUUUUUUUGAAAGAUCUGCCAAAAGACCAUCUUCCAGCUCCCCAAACUGGUCCUCCGCA